GAUGAACGCUGGCGGCGUGCCUAAUACAUGCAAGUCGAGCGAACAGACGAGGAGCUUGCUCCUCUGACGUUAGCGGCGGACGGGUGAGUAACACGUGGAUAACCUACCUAUAAGACUGGGAUAACUUCGGGAAACCGGAGCUAAUACCGGAUAAUAUAUUGAACCGCAUGGUUCAAUAGUGAAAGACGGUUUUGCUGUCACUUAUAGAUGGAUCCGCGCCGCAUUAGCUAGUUGGUAAGGUAACGGCUUACCAAGGCAACGAUGCGUAGCCGACCUGAGAGGGUGAUCGGCCACACUGGAACUGAGACACGGUCCAGACUCCUACGGGAGGCAGCAGUAGGGAAUCUUCCGCAAUGGGCGAAAGCUUGACGGAGCAACGCCGCGUGAGUGAUGAAGGUCUUCGGAUCGUAAAACUCUGAUAUUAGGGAAGAACAAAUGUGUAAGUAACUAUGCACGUCUUGACGGUACCUAAUCAGAAAGCCACGGCUAACUACGUG
rnacentral:rRNA from 1 species